AUUGAACGCUGGCGGCAUGCUUUACACAUGCAAGUCGAACGGUAACAGGCCGCAAGGUGCUGACGAGUGGCGAACGGGUGAGUAAUGCAUCGGAACGUGCCCAGUCGUGGGGGAUAACGCAGCGAAAGCUGCGCUAAUACCGCAUACGAUCUAUGGAUGAAAGCGGGGGACCGUAAGGCCUCGCGCGAUUGGAGCGGCCGAUGUCAGAUUAGGUAGUUGGUGGGGUAAAGGCUCACCAAGCCAACGAUCUGUAGCUGGUCUGAGAGGACGACCAGCCGGACUGGGACUGGGACACGGCCCAGACUCCUACGGGAGGCAGCAGUGGGGAAUUUUGGACAAUGGGCGCAAGCCUGAGCCAGCAAUGCCGCGUGCAGGAAGAAGGCCUUCGGGUUGUAAACUGCUUUUGUACGGAACGAAACGGUCCUGGUUAAUACCUGGGGCUAAUGACGGUACCGUAAGAAUAAGCACCGGCUAACUACGUGCCAGCCGCCGCAGUAAGAC
rnacentral:rRNA from 1 species